AGUGGCUGCCAUCUCACUCUUGUGCCAAUGCCAUCUGAUCUCGGAACCUAAGCAGGGUUGGGCCUGGCUAGUACUUGGACGGAAGACCAGCUCCGUCCGUCC
rnacentral:rRNA from 1 species